CGCAGGCCUGGUCGGCAGGUUCCGGCGACCGGGUGCUGGUGCACUCCUCGGUGGCGUUCGACGCGUCCACCUACGA
rnacentral:tRNA from 1 species